rnacentral:rRNA from 1 species
AUGUACCGGGGCUAAACGUGCCGCCGAAGCUGCGGGAUGACCGUUGGUCAUCGGUAGGGGAGCGUUCUAAGGGCGUUGAAGCCAGACCGGAAGGACUGGUGGAGCGCUUAGAAGUGAGAAUGCCGGUGUGAGUAGCGAAAACAGAGGUGAGAAUCCUCUGCACCGAAAGCCUAAGGGUUCCUGAGGAAGGUUCGUCCGCUCAGGGUUAGUCGGGACCUAAGCCGAGGCCGAAAGGCGUAGGUGAUGGGCAACAGGUUGAGAUUCCUGUACCACCUCCUCACCGUUUGAGCAAUGGGGGGACGCAGGAAGGUAGGGCGAGCAGGCUGCUGGAAUAGCCUGUCCAAGCGGUUAGGCUGCCAGAUAGGCAAAUCCGUCUGGCAUAAAGGCUGAGCCGUGAUGGCGAAGGGACCAUCGGUCCCGAAGUCCCCGAUCCUACACUGCCAAGAAAAGCCUCUAGCGAGGUGAGAGGUGCCCGUACCGCAAACCGACACAGGUAGGCGAGGAGAGAAUCCUAAGGUGCGCGGGAGAACUCUCGUUAAGGAACUCGGCAAAAUGACCCCGUAACUUCGGGAGAAGGGGUGCUCUCUUGGGUGAUGAGCCCGAGAGAGCCGCAGUGAAAAGGCCCAAGCGACUGUUUAUCAAAAACACAGGUCUCUGCGAAGCCGAAAGGCGAAGUAUAGGGGCUGACACCUGCCCGGUGCUGGAAGGUUAAGGGGAGCGCUUAAGCCGCAAGGCUGAAGGUGCGAACCGAAGCCCCAGUAAACGGCGGCCGUAACUAUAACGGUCCUAAGGUAGCGAAAUUCCUUGUCGGGUAAGUUCCGACCCGCACGAAAGGUGUAACGACUUGGGCGCUGUCUCAACGA